GAUGAACGCUGGCGGCGUGCCUAAUACAUGCAAGUCGAGCGAAUGGAUUAAGAGCUUGCUCUUAUGAAGUUAGCGGCGGACGGGUGAGUAACACGUGGGUAACCUGCCCAUAAGACUGGGAUAACUCCGGGAAACCGGGGCUAAUACCGGAUAACAUUUUGAACCGCAUGGUUCGAAAUUGAAAGGCGGCUUCGGCUGUCACUUAUGGAUGGACCCGCGUCGCAUUAGCUAGUUGGUGAGGUAACGGCUCACCAAGGCAACGAUGCGUAGCCGACCUGAGAGGGUGAUCGGCCAGACUGGGACUGAGACACGGCCCAGAGUCCUACGGGAGGCAGCAGUAGGGAAUCUUCGGCAAUGGACGAAAGUCUGACGGAGCAACGCCGCGUGAGUGAUGAAGGCUUUCGGGUCGUAAAACUCUGUUGUUAGGGAAGAACAAGUGCUAGUUGAAUAAGCUGGCACCUUGACGGUACCUAACCAGAAAGCCACGGCUAACUACGUGCCAGCAGCCGCAGUAA
rnacentral:rRNA from 1 species